AGCCUAAACAAGCAGCAAAAUUGAUCCAACAAAUUCAAAGUACACAUUUUGACCUGGAUAAUGCUGACAUUAAGUCCCUAUUUUCAAAACAAGAAGCCGAUGAAGAAACUGUCUUCGCCUUGGAAUAAAUCUUUUCAAACGAAGAAAAAUCUUCAUCAGAAGAUGAUUUCGGAUACCUCUGUAUCAAUACUCUUCAGUCUUGCCAUCCAGUACAGCCCAUGAUCUCCUUUCCAUUGGUUCACAUUCAUGUCCUACCCUCCAAAUAUGAAAAAACAAUUCCUAUCAUUGGUUUUCUUG
rnacentral:misc_RNA from 1 species